AUAACACUCCCUCCGUCCGAAAAUACUUAUCGGAGAAACGGAUAAAAAUGUAUGUAUCUAGAACUAAAAUACGUCCAGAUACAUUCAUUUCUCCAACAAGUAUUUCCGGACGGAGGGAGUAAUAA
rfam:Hordeum vulgare subsp. vulgare, WGS project CAJW01000000 data, contig: morex_contig_104983